rnacentral:rRNA from 1 species
GGAUGAGAGGAGCUUGCUCCUCGAUUCAGCGGCGGACGGGUGAGUAAUGCUUAGGAAUCUGCCUAUUAGUGGGGGACAACGUUUCGAAAGGAAUGCUAAUACCGCAUACGUCCUACGGGAGAAAGUGGGGGAUCUUCGGACCUCGCGCUAUUAGAUGAGCCUAGGUCGGAUUAGCUAGUUGGUGGGGUAAAGGCCUACCAAGGCGACGAUCCGUAACUGGUCUGAGAGGACGAUCCGCCACACUGGAACUGAGACACGGCCCAGACUCCUACGGGAGGCAGCAGUGGGGAAUAUUGGACAAUGGGCGGAACCCUGAUCCAGCCAUGCCGCGUGUGUGAAGAAGGCCUUUUGGUCGUAAAGCACUUUAAGUUGGGAGGAAGGUCUUACGGUUAAUACUCGUGAAUUUUGAAGUUUCCUAGCGAAUUAACACCCGGUAACUUCUUUGCCACCACCCCGGUUAUACCAAAGGGGGCAGCCUUUAUCCGAAUUUCUGGGGCUUAAGGGCGCCUUAGUUGGUCGAUUAGUUCGAUGGUGAAUCCCCCGACUUUACCUGGGAACUUGCUUUCAAUAUGGCUGGGUUAAAUUCUGUAAAAGGAUGUGAAAUUUCCAGUGGUACGGUUAAAUGGCUAAAUAUUCUGAGGAAAUCCCGUGGGCAAAGCGACCCACUUGGCUGAAUCUUGCACUUAAGUGUCGAAAACGUUGGGAGCGAAACGGAAUUAGAUCCCUGGUGUUCCCACGCCGUACGAUAUUCCUCUCCCUUUGGUCCUUUGAUCUUUUGGGCACCUUCGCCUAUAUUACCCCCGGGAGUAAGGUCCAGGAUAACUCUCAUUAUGGCCGGA